rnacentral:rRNA from 1 species
GAUGAACGCUGGCGGCGUGCCUAAUACAUGCAAGUCGAGCGAACAGACGAGGAGCUUGCUCCUCUGACGUUAGCGGCGGACGGGUGAGUAACACGUGGAUAACCUACCUAUAAGACUGGGAUAACUUCGGGAAACCGGAGCUAAUACCGGAUAAUAUAUUGAACCGCAUGGUUCAAUAGUGAAAGACGGUUUUGCUGUCACUUAUAGAUGGAUCCGCGCCGCAUUAGCUAGUUGGUAAGGUAACGGCUUACCAAGGCAACGAUGCGUAGCCGACCUGAGAGGGUGGGAGCCCACAGGAGAAUGAAAACCGGCCCAAGCCCCCGCGGGGAGGCGCAAGGAGGGAUUCUCCCGAAAGGGGCAAAGGCCGGAGGAACCAACGCGGGGGGAGUAAGAAAGUUGUCGGAACCUAAAAACUUUUUUAUGGGGGAAAAAAAAAUGUGAAAGAAACUUGGCCCUUUUGGACGGACCUUAAUAAGAAGCCCCCGAAAACCUAGGUC